CUACGGGCCGCAGCAGUGGGGAAUAUUGGACAAUGGGGGAAACCCUGAUCCAGCAAUGCCGCGUGUGUGAAGAAGGCCUGCGGGUUGUAAAGCACUUUCGGUUGGGAGGACUGCUUCUAGCACUAAUAUUGUUGGAAGUUGACGUUACCUUCAGAAGAAGCACCGGCUAACUCCGUGCCAGCAGCCGCGGUAAUACGGAGGGUGCAAGCGUUAAUCGGAAUUACGGGGCGUAAAGCGCGCGUAGGCGGCUAGAUCAGUCGGGUGUGAAAGCCCCGGGCUUAACCUGGGAACUGCAUCCGAUACUGUCUAGCUUGAGUACAGGAGAGGAGAGUGGAAUUCCACAUGUAGCGGUGAAAUGCGUAGAUAUGUGGAGGAACACCAAUGGCGAAGGCAGCUCUCUGGCCUGAUACUGACGCCGAGGUGCGAAAGCGUGGGGAGCAAACAGGAUUAGAUACCCGAGUAGUC
rnacentral:rRNA from 1 species